ACUCACCACACACAUCCCUUGAUUCUCAUCAAUGCAGAUGCCAUGUAACUGCAAAAUAUUCCGAUGCCCGCAGCUCAUGAGCUGCAAGAGAUCCUGCCGCACCUCAACAUCGUACACACUCCCCCGAUCGCACCCCUUCAGCUUCUUGAUCCACACCUUCUUCCCUCUGUACACGCCCUUAAACGACGUCGCGCCGUUCCGGUCUGCAUACUCGAUGUCAUCGGGAUUCAAUAACCACCGGGCGAUGUCCUCCCCGCCGGAUCUG
rnacentral:misc_RNA from 1 species